GUGAAGGGACAGGGCAGAGAGGAUACACCUGUUCCCAUUCCGAACACAGAAGUUAAGCUCUCUAGCGCUGAUGGUACUUGGUGGGAAACUGCCUGGGAGAGUAGGACGUAGCCA
rnacentral:rRNA from 1 species